GGGAUCAGACUGUUGCUGGCCUUUUUGAAUGAUGGUGACGCUGGAUAACGGCCGAACUGUCAUGAAAACCAAUGGUGACGCUGGAUAACGGCCGAACUGUUGUUGGCAUUGUGCACGUUUGUGACUUUUCCUGAUCAAUAGCUUUCUCCAACCCACACCUGUGCACUUGUUGUAGGCUUCUUUUGAGAAAAAGAGCCUAUGUUUUUCUACACACCCAAUUGUAUGUCUAUAGAAUGUCUUUUUACAAUUACUGAGCGCUUCUUCGAGAAGAUGGUCAGUAAGUAAAGUUAAUACAACUUUCAGCAAUGGAUCUCUUGGCUCUCGCAUCGAUGAAGAACGCAGCGAAUUGCGAUACGUAAUGUGAAUUGCAGAUUUUCAGUGAAUCAUCGAAUCUUUGAACGCACCUUGCGCUCCUUGGUAUUCCGAGGAGCAUGCCUGUUUGAGUGUCAUUAAAUUCUCAACUCCCUUUGAUUUUGUUAUCGGAGGAAGCUUGGAUAGUGGGUUUGCUGGUGAAGUUAAUCAUCGGCUUUCCUUAAAUGCAUUGGCAAAGGCGAAGGCAUGAUAACGUCUUUCGGUGUGAUAAUGAUCGCCGUGGAUGGAAGUGUCCUAGUUUCGUACUGUGCCUAUAACCCCUUUGCGUUGUUGCUUGUAAUGAAGUGACGAUGCUAUCGAACCCUGAACCUUUUUGACCUCAAAUCAGGUAGGA
rnacentral:rRNA from 1 species